GCCUAGGCCUAGGCCUGCUGGUGGAGCCCUUGACUCACCCCUGGUGGGUCUGGAUGCAUCGUGGGACCCUGGAAGUCGUUGCUGGGCUGUGUAGUCCCUGGCAAAGAAUGGCUGGAGGCUUGGGAUCGAAACGGUCGUAAAUUGAGGACUUUUGAGGAUCUGUGGCGCGGCGGCAGCGGCGGUGGCGAUGGCUGGUCCUGUCCCGGAUGUGCUGGCCCCUGGUCGGUUGGAGAAGCCUGGCGGAGGUUGCGGAGCAGGCACACAUCUGGAACUGCUGGAUGCCCACGUGUAGGACCCUUUUAUAUACCAGGGGAGGAGUCUGAGAUACUGUCAGGAUUUUAAAUCCACUCCAACAAGAGAUUUACCAUAAUGCCAAAGUAAUGAAAUCUAAGGUAUCUGGCACAUAUUCUGUUGAGGUCUCAGAUUGCUAACACUGGUUUCAGAGUAAGUCAAAACUUCAGAAGUUUAUUAAAUAACAAAUUUAGACACGCUCCAAGUAAAUAAUUCAGAAAUAUAUUAGUUAAGGCAAAUAAAUUUAUUAGAUUAUCAUCAUGGACUAUAGAGAAACAAAAAAGCAGAUUGCUCAGAAAAAAUAAAGGGGAAACCUUUAUCAGCCAGUAGUUUUGCUAAGCAGCACAAUAUGUGAAAGAAAAUCAGAAAUCAGAGAAGACUGAGGUCCUUUGAGAUAUACUCAUAAAAAAAGGUCCUAAUAAUGCAGACAUUUUUC